rnacentral:rRNA from 1 species
AACGCGAAGAACCUUACCAGCCCUUGACAUCCCGGUCGCGGAUUCCAGAGACGGAGUCCUUCAGUUCGGCUGGACCGGAGACAGGUGCUGCAUGGCUGUCGUCAGCUCGUGUCGUGAGAUGUUGGGUUAAGUCCCGCAACGAGCGCAACCCCCGUCCUUAGUUGCUACCAUUUAGUUGAGCACUCUAAGGAGACUGCCGGUGAUAAGCCGCGAGGAAGGUGGGGAUGACGUCAAGUCCUCAUGGCCCUUACGGGCUGGGCUACACACGUGCUACAAUGGCGGUGACAAUGGGACGCUAAGGGGCAACCCUUCGCAAAUCUCAAAAAGCCGUCUCAGUUCGGAUUGGGCUCUGCAACUCGAGCCCAUGAAGUUGGAAUCGCUAGUAAUCGUGGAUCAGCAUGCCACGGUGAAUACGUUCCCGGGCCUUGUA